rnacentral:rRNA from 1 species
UACACUCCUACGGGAGGCAGCAGUGGGGAAUUUUGGACAAUGGGCGAAAGCCUGAUCCAGCCAUGCCGCGUGCAGGAUGAAGGCCUUCGGGUUGUAAACUGCUUUUGUACGGAACGAAACGGCCUUUUCUAAUAAAGAGGGCUAAUGACGGUACCGUAAGAAUAAGCACCGGCUAACUACGUGCCAGCAGCCGCGGUAAUACGUAGGGUGCAAGCGUUAAUCGGAAUUACUGGGCGUAAAGCGUGCGCAGGCGGUUAUGUAAGACAGUUGUGAAAUCCCCGGGCUCAACCUGGGAACUGCAUCUGUGACUGCAUAGCUAGAGUACGGUAGAGGGGGAUGGAAUUCCGCGUGUAGCAGUGAAAUGCGUAAAUAUGCGGAGGAACACCGAUGGCGAAGGCAAUCCCCUGGACCUGUACUGACGCUCAUGCACGAAAGCGUGGGGAGCAAACAGGAUUAGAAACCCUGGUAGUCCCA